rnacentral:rRNA from 1 species
UACGGGGGGGGCAAGCGUUGUUCGGAAUUACUGGGCGUAAAGGGCUCGUAGGUGGCCAACUAAGUCAGACGUGAAAUCCCUCGGCUUAACCGGGGAACUGCGUCUGAUACUGGAUGGCUUGAGUUUGGGAGAGGGACGCGGAAUUCCAGGUGUAGCGGUGAAAUGCGUAGAUAUCUGGAGGAACACCGGUGGCGAAGGCGGCGUCCUGGACCAGCACUGACACUGAUGAGCGAAAGCCAGGGGAGCAAACGGG